rnacentral:rRNA from 1 species
GACAGAGGAUGCAAACGUUGCUCGGAUUUACUGGGCGUAAAGCGCGCGCAGGCGGUUCCGUAAGUCGGACGUGAAAGCCCAGGGCUCAACCUUGGAAGUGCGUCCGAUACUGCGAAACUGGAGUACUGGAGAGGAGAGCGGAAUUCCCGGUGUAGAGGUGAAAUUCGUAGAUAUCGGGAGGAACACCAGUGGCGAAGGCAGCUCUCUGGACAGAUACUGACGCUGAGGCGCGAAAGCGUGGGAAGCAAACAGG